rnacentral:rRNA from 1 species
UACGGAGGAUGCAAGCGUUAUCCGGAGUGAUUGGGCGUAAAGCGUCCGCAGGUGGCUGUGUAAGUCUGCUGUCAAAGAGCAAAGCUCAACUUUGUAAAGGCAGUGGAAACUACACGGCUAGAGUGCGUUCGGGGCAGAGGGAAUUCCUGGUGUAGCGGUGAAAUGCGUAGAGAUCAGGAAGAACACCGGUGGCGAAGGCGCUCUGCUAGGCCGCAACUGACACUGAGGGACGAAAGCUAGGGGAGCGAAUGGG